GCUUGUUUUCCGACCUAAUUAUAUAAAAAAAUUAAGCGUUAAUAAUAUGUUGAUAAAAUUCUUUGGCAAAUAAUUGGCAUUAAUGCAUUAAUUUCGACCAA